AAUAGAUACCCUGGUAGUCCACGCCGUAAACGAUGAGUGCUAAGUGUUGGGGGUUUCCGCCCCUCAGUGCUGCAGCUAACGCAUUAAGCACUCCGCCUGGGGAGUACGGCCGCAAGGCUGAAACUCGAAAGGAAGUUGACGGGGGCCCGCACAAGCGGUGGAGCAUGUGGUUUAAUUCGAAGCAACGCGAAGAACCUUACCAGGUCUUGACAUCCCGCUGCCCGGUAUAGAGAUAUAUCUUUCCCUUCGGGGACAGCGGUGACAGGUGGUGCAUGGUUGUCGUCAGCUCGUGUCGUGAGAUGUUGGGUUAAGUCCCGCAACGAGCGCAACCCUUGAUCUUAGUUGCCAGCAUUUAGUUGGGCACUCUAAGGUGACUGCCGGUGACAAACCGGAGGAAGGUGGGGAUGACGUCAAAUCAUCAUGCCCCUUAUGACCUGGGCUACACACGUGCUACAAUGGAUGGUACAAAGGGCUGCAAGACCGCGAGGUUUAGCCAAUCCCAUAAAACCAUUCUCAGUUCGGAUUGCAGG
rnacentral:rRNA from 1 species